rnacentral:rRNA from 1 species
AACGAACGCUGGCGGCGCGUCUUAAGCAUGCAAGUCGAACGGCAAGAGAGGAGCUUGCUUCUCUCCUAGAGUGGCGGACUGGUGAGGAACGCGUGGGUAAUCUACCCUUAAGAUGGGGAUAGCCGCUAGAAAUAGCGGGUAAUACCGAAUAGACUUAUAGCUGAGAAAGAAGUGAUAAGGAAAGGAAGCUAAGGCUUCGCUUAAGGAUGAGCCUGCGUCCCAUUAGCUAGUUGGUAAGGUAACGGCCUACCAAGGCGACGAUGGGUAUCCGGCCUGAGAGGGUGAACGGACACAUUGGGACUGAGAUACGGCCCAAACUCCUACGGGAGGCAGCAGCUAAGAAUAUUCCGCAAUGGACGGAAGUCUGACGGAGCGACGCCGCGUGGAUGAAGAAGGCUGAAAAGUUGUAAAUUCUUUUGCUGACGAAGAAUAAAGAUAAGAGGGAAUGCUUAUCAGAUGACGGUAGUCGGCGAAUAAGCCCCG